GAUGAACGCUGGCGGCGUGCCUAAUACAUGCAAGUCGAGCGAACGGACGAGAAGCUUGCUUCUCUGAUGUUAGCGGCGGACGGGUGAGUAACACGUGGAUAACCUACCUAUAAGACUGGGAUAACUUCGGGAAACCGGAGCUAAUACCGGAUAAUAUUUUGAACCGCAUGGUUCAAAAGUGAAAGACGGACUUGCUGUCACUUAUAGAUGGAUCCGCGCUGCAUUAGCUAGUUGGUAAGGUAACGGCUUACCAAGGCAACGAUGCAUAGCCGACCUGAGAGGGUGAUCGGCCACACUGGAGCUGAGACACGGUCCAGACUCCUACGGGAGGCAGCAGUAGGGAAUCUUCCGCAAUGGGCGAAAGCCUGACGGAGCAACGCCGCGUGAGUGAUGAAGGUCUUCGGAUCGUAAAACUCUGUUAUUAGGGAAGAACAUAUGUGUAAGUAACUGUGCACAUCUUGACGGUACCUAAUCAGAAAGCCACGGCUAACUACGUG
rnacentral:rRNA from 1 species